rnacentral:rRNA from 1 species
UACGUAGGGUCCAAGCGUUGUCCGGAUUUAUUGGGCGUAAAGAGCUCGUAGGCGGCUCAGUAAGUCGGAUGUGAAAACUCGGGGCUCAACCCCGAGACGCCAUCCGAUACUGCUGUGGCUUGAGUCUGGUAGGGGAACACGGAAUUCCUGGUGUAGCGGUGAAAUGCGCAGAUAUCAGGAGGAACACCUAUUGCGAAGGCAGCUCGCUGGGACGUAACUGACGCUGAGACGCGAAAGCGUGGGGAGCAAACAGG